rnacentral:lncRNA from 1 species
CUGAAAUCUUUCCUUUUUCCUGAUGUGAUUAGGAAGGUUAAGUUCUUAAUGUGGAUUCUUUCCCAGUUGCCCUAUUACCAUCUAAACUUUCUGGUGAAAUGCUGUAUAAACAGGCUUGGCUUUUCCCCUCCUGGAAGCUCCAUGCUUCAAAAUUUCCCACCUUUCCUUUGAUGAAAUUCUAUUUCUUGUGUGAUAUCAGUUGGCUACAUUUUUUGGGGGGGUACCGGAGAUCGAACUCAGGGCCUUGGGAUUGCAAGGCAAGCAGCAGAACCACUGAGCUAAAUCCCCAGCCCAGUUGGCUACAUUUUAAGAGAAAAGCAUUUUUUUUUCUGCUAAAAUAUGAAUGAAGGUAGCAGGAAAAUGAUACUAAAUUUUCUUUUUUAAAAAGGGAUCUUUAGAAUGAAUCUUUUUUUUUUUUUUUUUUGGUACUGGGGAUUGAACUUGGGUCCUUGUGCUUUCAAGGCAGGCAGUGGAACCACUGAGCUAAAUCCCUGGCCCUAUGAAUCUUUAAUAUAUGACACUUUAGACAAUAUGACCACAACUCAUGCAACCAUGGAAAGCAAUAUUUUUAGCAAAUUAACUGGUACUGUCCUGUAUUUCAAUUCCUAUAGAUUGUUAGAUUGUUUAGACAUUUUUUUUUUUUACAGUCUGCUGUCUUCUAGUUCUGAACUUAGAGGUUUCCUUCUUAUUUCCAAAUUUUUAUAACUUUUCCUUCUCUUCCACUUAUCCUGUAGAUCACUAUAAAUGUCACCUUUACAUUUUCCAACUUCUGGUGGUACAGUGAUGGGGUUUAGAGGCAUUCUGGAGCAAGGAGCCUAGGGAUAGCAUUAUCCCAAGACAAGAGGCCAAGGGGAAAUGAAGGGAGAAAGUGCCAUCACAGGCUGCCUGUGCUUAAUUAAAAACUUAAUGAAACCCAGUGGAGAAGCUUCAUCUUUGUCAUAUUUUAUCAAUAAUACAUUACUUGGAAUUAUAUUAAAACUUACUCGCAAUACCUGUACUUUUCUUGUUCUGUAGAUGUGUAGAUGAUGUUGCUUGUUAAGAUGUUAUCUUUUAUAAAAGAAAGUCCUGCUUCUUAUCAUGAUGUAUGUGACUUAAAUGAUUGUUUCAUAUUAAAACUAUUUCUUCCUUAUGUACUGUUUACAUAUACCUCUUUUUGGGAUAUUAGUUCAGUACUUUUAUACAAAUCUGAGUGUGUUCCACUAGUGCUGUGGUCUGUGGCAAAAUUACUGUAAUUCAAAUUGGAAAAUAAAAUGUUUCCAGACUUUGUCCAACAUUUAUUCCUAUGACAGAGGAAAUUACUAUGUAAUACUAAUUAUUUCUUAUGCUGG